rnacentral:snRNA from 1 species
GGAUGUGAGGGUGAUCUGGCUGCGACAUGUCACCCCAUUGAUUGCCAGGGUUGAUUCAGCUGAUCUGGCUGGCUAGGCGAGUGUCCCCUUCCUCCCUCACCGCUCCACGUGCAUCCCUCCUGACCUUCCCCAAUAGAGGAGGACUGUUCUUCCGUCAAGGGUAUACGAGUAGCUGCGCUCCCCUGCUAGAACCUCCGCACAAGCUCUCAAAAGGGGAGGAAGUGAAAGCAGUUGAAAAAAGGGAAGAGAGAGUCAGAAGAGGUAGCGAUCCAGGCUGGUGGAGCACCCUUCCU